rnacentral:rRNA from 1 species
CCUACGGGCGGCUGCAGUGGGGAAUAUUGCACAAUGGGGGAAACCCUGAUGCAGCGACGCCGCGUGAGUGAAGAAGUAUUUCGGUAUGUAAAGCUCUAUCAGCAGGGAAGAAGAAAGACGGUACCUGACUAAGAAGCCCCGGCUAACUACGUGCCAGCAGCCGCGGUAAUACGUAGGGGGCAAGCGUUAUCCGGAUUUACUGGGUGUAAAGGGAGCGUAGACGGCUGUGCAAGUCUGAAGUGAAAGCCCAGGGCUCAACCCUGGGACUGCUUUGGAAACUGUGGAGCUUGAGUGCUGGAGAGGUAAGUGGAAUUCCUAGUGUAGCGGUGAAAUGCGUAGAUAUUAGGAGGAACACCAGUGGCGAAGGCGGCUUACUGGACAGUAACUGACGUUGAGGCUCGAAAGCGUGGGGAGCAAACAGGAUUAGAUACCCCAGUAGUC